GUACCCUCAGUGCCAUGGCAAUGCUCUUAUUUGACUAUGUUUGAUAGGAGAAGGCUUCUGCGACUAAAUAUUUUUAUAUUAAAUUAACUUGUACAACUAGAUGAUUUUUCCUAUGGUUAAUCAUAGUUAGCAUUUAUUAGAGAACCACCUGGAAUGAUUGAUGUGUGGAGUUUAGGUUUGCACCCAGUGAUUUAACCUAAACAACUUUUUUCCCAUUAAAUCAUGUUU
rnacentral:lncRNA from 1 species